UACAGAGGUCCCAAGCGUUGUUCGGAUUUACUGGGCGUAAAGGGUGCGUAGGCGGUUGGGUAAGUCUGACGUGAAAUCUCCGGGCCUAACCCGGAAACUGCGUUGGAUACUAUCCGACUAGAGGAAUGGAGGGGAGACUGGAAUACUUGGUGUAGCAGUGAAAUGCGUAGAUAUCAAGUGGAACACCAGUGGCGAAGGCGAGUCUCUGGACAUUUCCUGACGCUGAGGCACGAAAGCCAGGGGAGCAAACGGG
rnacentral:rRNA from 1 species